rnacentral:rRNA from 1 species
UACGAAGGGGACUAGCGUUGUUCGGAAUCACUGGGCGUAAAGCGCACGUAGGCGGAUUCGUAAGUUAGGGGUGAAAUCCCGGGGCUCAACCUCGGAACUGCCUUUGAUACUGCGGGUCUCGAGUCCGAUAGAGGUGGGUGGAAUUCCUAGUGUAGAGGUGAAAUUCGUAGAUAUCGGGAGGAACACCAAUGGCGAAGGCAGCUCGCUGGGACGUUACUGACGCUGAGACGCGAAAGCGUGGGGAGCAAACAGG